CCGGGCCCCAGCGCAACCACCCCCCUCUUUUCCUCCCUCCCUCCCACCGCCCGACUGAGAGGCGGCGUGAAGCCACGCCCCUUUUGACUCCUCCCUCCGUUGUAUCCCUCCGCCGCUCUCAAUGCUUGAGGGGCUACCGCCGGGAAGCGGUUGUUCGCGGCCAAGCUUUGAGCUGCGUGGGGGAGGAGUGGGAAGAAGGGGAGGGGUGGAAGUGGUUUCUGUGCGGCUGAGCGUUGUCUCUGGGGGGGAGGGGUGGGACUAUGUUUUACGGCGGAGGGAGACGGAGGGAUCGACUAACUCAUCACCGGAAGAUGGACUGACGAACCGCGGAGAGUUAUCCAAUGGGAAGCCUCGCCGCUCUGAGUGGCGGGGAAUACAGCCAACCGGAGAGCGCGUUGCUCACGCCCCGCCCACCGAGCGCUGCGCCGGCUGGGGCCGGCCGCUGGUUCGUGUCGCUGCCCGCAGCGCCCGCGGAGCGGGGCCGCCUGGAUCCGGGUGUCUCACCAACCUGUGCAAACCAAGAGGCCAAGCUGCCUGGGAUGUGGCUGGCUCUGCCCGCUGAGCCCGUCCCACUCGUCACACUGAUGGGCCUGGGAUGGGUGUGCUCUGCUGGGGUGCUGCUGCCACCUGGGCAAACUGAGGGGUCCCCCUCCCCACAACCCUGAGCAUCCACGUGUCAGUGUCCCUGAGCAUCCUGCAUCCCUGAGCAUCCCACAUCCCUGAGCAUCCAACAUCCCUGAGCAUCCCAUAUCCCUGAGCAUCCCACAUCCCUGAGCAUUCCCACAUCAGUGAUUAUCCCUGAGCAUCCUCUGUCCCUGAGCAUCCUGCAUCCCAGAGCAUCCUGUGCUCACUGAGCACCCCAAAUCUCCAGAUACCCUGUGACUCUGAACAUCCUGCACCUCUGAACGUCCUUUGUCCCUGAGCGUCUCACAUCCUUAAGAAUCCCAUGUCCCUGAGCAUCCUGCAUCCCUGAGCAUCCCACAUGCCUGCAUCCCUGAGAAUCCCCACAUUAGUGAGCAUUCCUGGGCAUCCCCACAUCCCUGAAUGUCCCUGAGCAUCCCACACCCCCAGUCUCUAAGCAUCCUGCACCCCUGAGCAUCCCUGCAUCCAUGAGCAUCCCUGCAUCCCUGAGAAUCAUUUAGCACCCUGCAUCCCCAAGCAUCCCUGUGUCUUGGAGCAUCCCCACAACCUGGAGGAUCCCAUAUCCCCAAUCUCUAAGCAUCCUUCAUCCCAGUGCAUCCUUGCCUCCCUGAGCAUCUCACAUCCCAGAGCACCCCCAAACACUCUUCAUCCCUGAGCAUCCCUGUAUCUGUGAGCAUCUCUGAGCAUCUCUGCAUCUCUGAGCAUCCCAGAGCAUCCUUGAGCAUCCCGCAUCCCCGAGCAUCCUGCAUCCCAAAGCAUCCCUGUGUCCUGGAGCAGCCCCACAUCCCGGGGCAUCCCAUAUCCCAACCACCCCACAUCCCUAAGCCUUCAGGUCCCGGCUGUGGGGCUGAGGGUGCAGCAGGAACCCCGCAGGGGUGGAGGGCUGCGGAGGGUGACGGCGACGUAGCACCUACUCUAAU
rnacentral:lncRNA from 1 species